rnacentral:rRNA from 1 species
CCUACGGGAGGCAGCAGUAGGGAAUAUUGCUCAAUGGGGGAAACCCUGAAGCAGCAACGCCGCGUUGAGGAUGAAGGUUUUCGGAUUGUAAACUCCUUUUUUUAGAGAAGAUAAUGACGUUAUCUAACGAAUAAGCACCGGCUAACUCCGUGCCAGCAGCCGCGGUAAUACGGAGUAUGCGAGCGUUAUCCGGAUUUAUUGGUUUUUAAGGGUGCGUAGGCGGACAGUCAAGUCAGAGGUAAAAAUGCGGGGGUCAACUCCGUACAGCCGUUGACACUGGCAGUCUUGAGUGGGCGAGAAGGAUGCGGAAUGAGUGGUGUAGCGGUGAAAGGCAUAGAUAUCACGAAGAA